GAUGAACGCUAGCGGCAGGCCUAACACAUGCAAGUCGAGGGGCAUCGCGGUGCAGCAAUGCACUGGCGGCGACCGGCGUACGGGUGCGUAACGCGUAUGCAACCUGCCCCGCACCGGGGGAUAGCCCGCCGAAAGGCGGAUUAAUACCCCAUGGCCCCGGGGGCCCGCAUGGGCAUCCGGGUAAAGCCUUGGCGGUGCGGGAUGGGCAUGCGUGCCAUUAGCUGGCUGGUGGGGUAACGGCCCACCAGGGCGACGAUGGCUAGGGGGUCUGAGAGGACGAUCCCCCACACUGGUACUGAGACACGGACCAGACUCCUACGGGAGGCAGCAGUGAGGAAUAUUGGUCAAUGGGCGGAAGCCUGAACCAGCCAUGCCGCGUGCAGGAUGACGGCCCUACGGGUUGUAAACUGCUUUUCCCCGGGGCGAAUAACCCCCUCGCGAGGGGGGAUGCCGGUACCGGGGGAAUAAGGAUCGGCUAACUCCGUG
rnacentral:rRNA from 1 species